UAAAAUAAAUAAGUAAAAUAAAGGUAAUGUGUGCAUCUGCAACUAAAAAAAAUGUAUAAACAACAAAAAACAAACGAAAAAACCAUAGGCUCAGGAAAAAAAUAAAUUACAAUAAAUAUAUCAGCUGAAAUUUAAAAUAUUAUGGUCUAACAAACAUUUUUUUCCAACAAAUAUUUAUAAGAUGUUAAAUUUAAGAUUCAAAACCUGAUUUUCUUAGCCAGGUAUAGUGGUACAUGCCUGUAAUCCCAGCUUCUCAGGAGGCUGAGGCAGG
rnacentral:lncRNA from 1 species